rnacentral:rRNA from 1 species
UACGAAGGGGGCUAGCGUUGCUCGGAAUCACUGGGCGUAAAGGGUGCGUAGGCGGGUCUUUAAGUCAGGGGUGAAAUCCUGGAGCUCAACUCCAGAACUGCCUUUGAUACUGAAGAUCUUGAGUUCGGGAGAGGUGAGUGGAACUGCGAGUGUAGAGGUGAAAUUCGUAGAUAUUCGCAAGAACACCAGUGGCGAAGGCGGCUCACUGGCCCGAUACUGACGCUGAGGCGCGAAAGCCAGGGGAGCGAACGGA